CAGGGCCUGCAUCCCGGCGGCCCCGGGCGGCGCAGUGCACGCCGGGAAUUGGAGUCCCGCCGGCCCGGACUGACCUGUUGCCGCCUCCCUGGGCGGGUGUCCCGGGGGCUGAGGACAGUGACGGGGAUGGCGCGGCCGGGCCGGGGCGCCUGCGCAGACGGCCGGGGCCGGCGACAAGCUGGGGAGCGCGGGGAGUAUGCAUAAGCUUAAAUCAUCUCAGAAGGACGAGGUCCUCCAGCUCAUGGCAUUCACUCAGGCUGGUGAGAGAACUGUCAUCCGGCGCUCAGCCCAAAGUGAGUGGAAACUGGACGCGCCACGGACAGCUUCUUCCAGAACCCGGCCUCGUUCCACAAGGACUCCAUGCGAACCUCCGUGGACAGGAAGAUGCUGGAGCCGCUGUAUAACCGGUACAAAGGUAGGGGCGCAGUGGCGAGUGCGUGCGUCUCCAGGGAGCAGGGUGGCUGUGCUGGAGUCUCCGUGCUGUGUCCCAGGGCCCCCGACGUGCAUUCCCUUCCCGUGCAGAUGUUCAGCUGCACAAAAGUCUGAGGACUGAUGAGCAGCGAGCCCUCCUGCACGUGGCCUGGGCGGAGGCUCGUGUGCCCACGGUUGGCUGCGCACGGUCACUGCUCGGAGGCUUGGUGUCCAGGCCAGGUGGCUACACUUGUUAAGACAGUACUUCUCCCCAGCGCUUGCACGUAGGCAGGAAUACGUGGUGAGAAGGCCAUUCCAGAACGAUACCGACUCGUAAGAGUAAUUCUGAUGCGAGGGUACAGGUAUCCUGCCCUUAACACCGUGUGCUGGUGUUGGAGCCCUGGAACAGCUCCAGCUGCAGAAGCUUCUGGAAAAACUCUUGGCAAAAAAACCUUUGUGUUGUCAGCUGGGGACAGUUGUUAUUUUCAUUGAAAUUGGCACUUAGAGUGGAGCUUUCCCUAUCAAAAUGCAGUCAUGCGGCAAAAAUAAGUCUGCGUGAUGAGUCUGUGCAGGUCCAGACUGCUCAGCAGGCUCUAGAUUCCACAUCAAAUGUCAGGUCUGUGCUGUAAUGGGAGAGGCGGCAACGAUUCAAGAGCUGAUUUUUUUUUUUUUCUAGCAGUUUCUAAGGUUAAUCUUAUCUUUCCAAAACUUAAAAAAUAAAAUCCCUCAUUUAAACAAGUAUUAACACAAACAGAGUAACUCCCUUGGCUUUAAGUUCUUGUUUAUUUAUUAUUUUCAUUUUUCACUUUUGAAAAUACUGUGUAUAAUCUGUCUAUCUAGAUCCAAAAAAUCAAUUGAAAAUUGCAUUCCAUUAAAAAGAAAAAAAUCUUGGUUCAGAAACAUGUUCUGUGGUUUAAAAAACAGAUUUGUACUUGUUGUAGUUCUCCAAAAAUGAACAUUGUUUUCAGUGUGCUUUAAAUUUUUUUGGCUAAGUUAAUUACUGAGCUAAUUUUGUAAGUCAUAUGCUAUGCAGAUUCUAAAAGUUAUUCAGAUAUGUGCAGCUGCCUUUGGAAAAAUAUUUUUAUGUGAAAAUUAUCUUUAGUCUUUAAGCUUCAUCCCUUAUCAUUUAAUUUUAUUCAUGCAAUUCUAGUCAUUUAAAGUAGACAUAUGGUACAGUCAUUUUGGCCCCUAAACAUAGAUGUAUAGUUCAAAGCCAAUUGACAAAUAGAACAACUGUUGUUACACAAUGUAUACAAAUGAAUGAGUGCUUCCAGACUACUUUAAAGCAUUCUAAAUUAUUAUAUGUGAAGUUUAUCAGGACGGUUAUCAGGUGAGGGCAUCGUAGACCCAUUUUUCUGUUAUCCUGAAGGUCUGUUGUGUUAGGAGCGCAGGCUUGAGUCAGGAGGUGUGUGGGAACCUCUGUCCUAUGAGCCCACGGCGGCAGGUUCUCACGGACACAGGAGCGUAGAGUUGGAAGGGUCUGUGUGAUUUUGCUCAUUUAAGGUAGGUCAGCAGUUCUUCUUUGGUAACAACAUAUGUAUAUAUAAACGUGGCGUUGAGCACUUAAGAGUUCGAUCUCGUGUGAUGGAAGAGUUUGUUGCACUUAACCUUCCUUUGCGGGAAGGUGCCGCGGGCCUGCUUCUCCCACCUUCUACGGCAGCAGGUGGGCUGUCAUUGUGAUGCCGGUCAGGAGACACAGGCUGAGGUCACAGGGCCUCGCUUGGUGAGGCCUUGCUGAUUCUUUUAAUGGAUUUCACGGUUUGAUUUUCCCAUGGAGAAAUGCUAAGUUCUUUAAUUUUAUGUCUAAACUAGAAAUUGCCGGGGGGGAUGGGGGGGCGGGGGGGAGCCUGAAUUUCUAAGCUGUUAAACGUGGAUGCAUAAACUAAACAACUGAAGAAUGAGUAUUGUGCAGUAGUAUUAGCACUGUAGCAAAUGAAAUCACUUUUAAAAGAAAAUCAUCUUUCUUUUGCUUUGACAAGGUGGUGAUAAAAACUUAAAAUAUUUUGAAUGCUUUACAGUGUUUUUCGUAGCAGUUUGCCUUUGGGCAAGGUAAAAUUCUGUAAACUUGAAAUUUUAUUUUACUUUAGGGAGAUUAAUUAAUUUUUUCUUAAUGAUGAAGUCUUCAAAGAAGUUUCAAUGAUUUUCCCCCCCUAAAAACCCAGGAACCUAGAUUUUAAAAAUAAAGAGUAUUUUCUGGAUAAAUCAUUAUUUGUUGCUAUUUCUUUCACAUAUGGUAGAAAAUUGCAGUGCAUUGAUAGAUGUGUUUGAAACACACUUGCCAAAACUAUGUAGUAGAGAUAUGAUUCUUACCACCCAUUUUAGUAAUGCUUUUCAAAAUAUCCAAAUUUUUAACUUCUUUUCCCCUUAACUUUAACUACAGACCCACAAGAUGAAAAUAAAAUUGGAAUUGAUGGAAUUCAGAAGUUUUGUGAUGAUUUAAGCCUAGAUUUAAGCCUAGUAUCACUGUUUUGGGUAUAGUGUGGAAAUUCAGGGCCGCGACUCUAUGUGAAUUUAGCAAAAAGAAUUUGUAGAUGGCAUGACAGAGCUUGGGGUUGGGAUAAAAGCUUCAUCCAUACCGUAACGUGUUUCUGACUUGCUGGAUGAGUCGGAGAGGUUUACCUCCAUUUCUCAAUGUGACACUUUUCAUCAUUAAGAUGCAUUGAGUAUAGAUUUCCUAAGUGAUAAGGAUGCAGACUUAGCAGGACGGGACUAAUCGUCUAGGCGUAAAUGCCGAGGGCCCCGUAGACUUAGAAAUGGCCGUCGCAUAUUGGAAUUUGGUAUUUUCCGGAAGGCUUAAGUUUUUAGAUCUUUGGAACAUCCUUUUGUUGAAGCAUCGCAAAAGAUCAAUCCCAAGAAACACUUGGAACCUUCUGCUAGAUUUUGGAAAUAUGAUUGCAGAUGACGUGUCCAGCUAUGAUGAAGAAGGUACGAGAAGUAGUCGGAACUCAGGCGAUGGCCAGAGGCACUGACGCGGGCGCGCACGUCUCUGACCCCGGACCACGGGUCAGUGAUGGCAGCGCAGGCCCCGGGGCAGACGGCAUCUGCUGACUCCUGGCCCGACCCCCUCCGGAGGCGGGGGUGGUGAUCAUAGUGACUAGUAGUCACUUUAUUAUGUCUUGUAAAUCACACAAAAGAAAAUACAGCUGCAUAUUUAGUUAAAGUCAGGAAGACAGUUGUCCGAACUAAGCCAUUUCAGAGUGGACGUGCAGAGGCCCUGAGGCAGACCUCAAGCAGGACAGUCACUGGGGCCCGCUGCCCCGCGUGUGGCUGCAGCGGCUGUUCCGUCUCACGGCCGAAGCUCACGGAAGACCGCAGCCUCCAUUUGCUCACCUGAGCAUGCACGCCUGCUGCGGCCCCCACCCCAAACAUUUCAGGACUCGGGGAGCGUUUGCCUGCCUGCUGAGCUGUGGGCGCUGCCCCGUUAGGGAAGGAUGCCCACCCCCCCAGCCCCGCCCACCGUCGGCUCCCUCUGCCCGGCCAGGAGGUGACUGUGCACAUUCCCGGCGGGGUCAAGGGUGGGCGGUCCUCACAGGGCCGGCUCCACACAAGCACACCAGCACUUGCCAACCCUGGUCUGGCUAGAGCAGAAGAGGGUCACUUUAGCCGAUUCUUUAAGUGGAGCACAGGCUAUAGAAAGUUAAAAUCAUUUGAGUUCUUGAAAUAUAAAAGUUGGAUUGUGAAAAAAUACUUUGAAUGUAAAAAUAUUGCUCUAAGUCGUUGAUUUUUUUUAAAAAUCUAUUUGCUCUUCUUCAGGAGUGUGGCCUGUUCUUACAGAUGAUUUCGUAGAAUGUGCACGGCCAGUGGUCACGGGUGGUUAAGGCAGCCCUCUCUAGGCAGAAGAUCGAGAUGGAUUGAGGUGAAAAGGGAGCUGUCCUGCAGGAGACGCUGGCCAGCCAUGCCCGUUGCCCAUUUUGGAAGUCAUCCUGACCAGUCGUGAGACUGGAGACCCUCUCCUGCUGCUUAGAGAAGACGCCGCUGACUGGACGCCGCACGGAGACCCUCUGAGCUCGCUGCUGGGGCUCCCAGAGACGGGGCCCUGCUGUUGCUGUAAGAGACCUCCGCAUGAUUUCCGCGUUUACGGAGGAGCUGGGGCCUGUCUGCAGGCUGCAGGGUCGCUGUUGAUCAUGACCCAAAGCGAGGCUGUGCUCACCACACUCGCUGAAUUGUCCGUAACCGCCCCAAGGAACUACAAGUCAGGCUGCUGGAAACGUGCCCCAAAGAGGACGGGUGUCGUGGAUGCUGGCGGUUUUGAACUUGGUGCCAGGGUUAAGAUUUAUAUUUUUUGAAUCAUCAAGUGUCUAGAUUUAUCAGCUCUAUUUUCAUUUCACUUUUCUCUGGAUGCUCAUCUGGGAAUCAUUUUACAGGUUAACGCACCGUUGCAGUUUGCACGGCGAUGGUGUCAUCGUGAUUCCAGAAAAGUGUUCUUCUAAAUUGCCUGCACGUCAGUGGGUCUGCUUUACUUCUGAUAACGGCAGCUGAGCUUCCUAAGAGCGUCAUAAAGUAUGCUUUUAAAAAAUGUAGUUAAGGGCUUCCCUGGUGGCGCAGUGGUUGAGAGUCCGCCUGCCGAUGCAGGGGAUGCGGGUUCGUGCCCCAGUCCGGGAAGAUCCCACGUGCCGCGGAGCGGCUGGGCCCAUGAGCCGUGGCCGCUGAGCCUGCGCGUCCAGAGCCUG